GGCAGUUCACCUAUAUUUCCUCGAUUGGUUGUACUUCAUUGUUGGUUAAAAAAUUGACCCCUCAAUCAGUCUCGUCGAACCUAACCUAAUUCAUAUUUCUAUCACCAAAAUAGGUUAUAAUCAUUCCGAGAACCUAACCUAAUUCAUAUUUCUAUCACCAAAAUAGGUUAUAAUCAUUCCGAGAACCUAACCUAAUUAAUAUUUCUAUCACCAAAAUAGGUUAUAAUCUUUCCGAGAACCUAACUUAAUUCAUAUUUCUAUCACCAAAAUAGGUUAUAAUCAUUCCGAGAACCUAACCUAAUUCAUAUUUCUAUCACCAAAAUAGGUUAUAAUCAUUCCGAAGUUCUUCACGACUUUUGUAUCACUCCGUAGUCCUCGGAAGUUUAAUCACUUGGAUCAAUAUUCGAAUUCUAACCGCAGAUUAUUCCUUUGGGGUUGAUCAGAUCGAUUCAGCCAGAAAUAUGUACCACAGAUUCAGCUCGUGUCCUUUGAAAUCCAUUGAAUAUUUCAGGAUCCAAGUCGACUUUUUUUUCACCGUCUAAUGAAUGCUUCAGUCCACGUUUAAAAUACCGAUCACCCUCUGUCGUAGAAGUUUCGAUUCGUAUUUGACUCGGUCCGCGGCCAAGAGAAUCGUACAUUUAAUUAAUUCCUGCUUACGUUUCGGGAGAGGGGUAUCUGCGAAUGAAAGCAGGGAGAGUCCGCACGAAACGAGGCUAACAUUUCCAAUCUCGCGACACGGACACGCCCGGGACAAAUCCUGCUUAAGCUGGAUACACACGCGACGCUAAUAUCGUUUCGUUAUCGUCCAGGAAGUGACGUAGCGGAACGAUAUAUACAGAUUUCAGCUUGAUUCAGCCAAUAUGCAACGGGACACGGUGCACAUUCCGACGAACGUACAUCGCAAUGAUCCGGUCGUGGUGAAAUACCAGGACACCUUAUUGAGAUCCAUGAUUGGUCGACACUGAUUUUCAGCUUUACGGUUGAAACGGCAAAUCGAUAUUUAUUUCUUCCUACGGUGUAUAUUUUAGAGGUUACCAAGCUGAAAUGAUUUAAGAUUUACGAUUGAGUCUCUUUUUGUCAUUAAGAAUGUUAAUUAAGGUAUUUUGUUGAAUUUUUAGGGCCAGCAGGAAUGAAGGCCCCAAGAAUCGAUCUUGGGGAGAAAGUAAGAACUCCGGGUGAGGUUAGGUUAGUACUUUUAUCGAUAUUUAUUUCUUCCUACGGUGUAGAGUUUAGAGGUUACCAAGCUGAAAUGAUUUAGGAGUUUAUGAUCGAGUCUUUUUUGUCAUUAAAAAUGUUAAUUAAGGUAUUUCGUUGAAUUUUUAGGGCCAGCAGGAAUGAAGGCCCCAAGAAUCAAUCUUGGGAGAUAGUAAGAAUUCCGAGUGAGGUUAGGGCCAGCAGGAAUGAAGGCCCCAAGAAUCGAUCUUGGGGACCUCAAGCGGAGAAAGUAAGAACUCCGGGUGAGGUUAGGUUGGUACUUUUAUGUGAUCAAAUGAUUCUAGAUAGUGGAAAAUAUUGCACCAUCGAAUGUGUAAUAUAUAUAUGAGAUGCAUUCGGUGAAAAAUUCACUUCUCAUACAUUUCUUAUCGUCUAGUAGCGUACUAUAGCUCGAGACACUUAAGGGGGAUCCUAGUUCGAUGGGAAUCUCGUUGUUCAGCAAAGGGUAUCGGUAAAAUUUCAUUCGAAAUUACGAAUUCAAUUCCGCGGAUACGAUUCCUCGUAAAUUUCAAGAAAUUCACUCAUAACUUUCAAUGGACUCGGUCUCAGCAGUGAGAAAUCAUUCGUUGAUCUUUCUUAAAUUGAAUUUUCCUAUCCGUUUCAAAGGAAAAUGGAUUUUAUCAAAAUCUUUGGUUAUUUCUUGCUUAGCUUCUUAAUUAAUUUCAAUUUAAUUCCAUAUUUAAUUGAAGAUUCCGUAUAAACUUUGAAAUUCAAUUAUAUCUUGAUGAAUUUUAAAUGCCAGGUUCUAUUUAUCGAAGACUUAGUGCAAACUUGAAGGUAAAUUGAAAUUAAUUUGAACUGAAAACAAAAGAAACUAUUAUAAUUAGGUUUACAUUAACUUCUCUGUCAGAAUUUUUAGCUACACUUUAAAUAAAUUUACUAUAGGAAGAAAAUAAAAGUUUAAUUAAAUCUAGACUUAGGUUCUUAAAAAAUCCGAAUGAUAAUUAAAUUUCAAUCAGUCAAACCAAAUUGAAGGAGAUUAACUAAAAAUUUGAUUGUACCUAACAGAAAGAAGAAACCAAAGCGUGAAUGAAAGCACUUCAAAGUUGGAAGCCAAAAUUGGAUUGCUGUCAUUCAUUUUGUGACAUUUUUAUCUCGAUUUGUUUUCCUCUCUGCUGUUCGUCAAGCUUUUAAAAUUUCCUGUACCUUGGCAAAAUCGAAAAUUUUGACCGAUCCAAAAGAAGAAAAAAGUGUAUAUAUCGAGGACGAAGAUAAAGUUUGAUUUAUUGUUCCCGCCUUCCAUAAACUUUUUAAUCUCCGGCGUGCUACAUCACCGAACGAGAUAGUGCAAUUCUAUAUAUUGCUCUCGUUUCCCUGUUAAAUUGCCAAUAUAUUUUUGUGCCUUUUUGCGUUCAGUCAACAAACAAGGGACAUUGUCCAUCGGAUUGAUCCAAUAACAGGUGUGAAUCUAAAAAUAAAUCGAGUCUGGUGCAGUUCCAAAAUAACAACACCACCGACAAAUAGAAAGCGUACCAAUUUUCAUGUUAACCUUGUGCUUUCACUUUAACGCCUGAAACGUGUCACAUUUUUUCCAAUUUCGAGAAAUAAAAUAUUAAAAAAA